AUUGAUUGGUGCUUGCAUCAUGAUUUACAUUUGAGUGAGUGGCGAACUGGUGAGUAACACGUGGGAAACCUGCCCAGAAGCGGGGGAUAACACCUGGAAACAGAUGCUAAUACCGCAUAACAACUUGGACCGCAUGGUCCGAGUUUGAAAGAUGGCUUCGGCUAUCACUUUUGGAUGGUCCCGCGGCGUAUUAGCUAGAUGGUGGGGUAACGGCUCACCAUGGCAAUGAUACGUAGCCGACCUGAGAGGGUAAUCGGCCACAUUGGGACUGAGACACGGCCCAAACUCCUACGGGAGGCAGCAGUAGGGAAUCUUCCACAAUGGACGAAAGUCUGAUGGAGCAACGCCGCGUGAGUGAAGAAGGGUUUCGGCUCGUAAAACUCUGUUGUUAAAGAAGAACAUAUCUGAGAGUAACUGUUCAGGUAUUGACGGUAUUUAACCAGAAAGCCACGGCUAACUACGUGCCAGCAGCCGCGGUAAUACGUAGGUGGCAAGCGUUGUCCGGAUUUAUUGGGCGUAAAGCGAGCGCAGGCGGUUUUUUAAGUCUGAUGUGAAAGCCUUCGGCUCAACCGAAGAAGUGCAUCGGAAACUGGGAAACUUGAGUGCAGAAGAGGACAGUGGAACUCCAUGUGUAGCGGUGAAAUGCGUAGAUAUAUGGAAGAACACCAGUGGCGAAAGGCGGCUGUCUGGUCUGUAACUGACGCUGAGGCUCGAAAGUAUGGGUAGCAAACAGGAUUAGAUACCCUGGUAGUCCAUACCGUAACGAUGAAUGCUAAGUGUUGGGAGGGUUUCCGCCCUUCAGUGCUGCAGCUAACGCAUU
rnacentral:rRNA from 2 species